UACGGAGGAUCCAAGCGUUAUCCGGAUUUAUUGGGUUUAAAGGGUGCGUAGGCGGCCUGUUAAGUCAGGGGUGAAAGACGGUAGCUCAACUAUCGCAGUGCCCUUGAUACUGAUGGGCUUGAAUGGACUAGAGGUAGGCGGAAUGAGACAAGUAGCGGUGAAAUGCAUAGAUAUGUCUCAGAACACCGAUUGCGAAGGCAGCUUACUAUGGUUUAAUUGACGCUGAGGCACGAAAGCGUGGGGAUCAAACAGG
rnacentral:rRNA from 1 species